CCUCUGGAAGCAAACUAUUCACCUCGGCUGGCACCACCUCCAUGAUCGUUCUCCAGCUAGAAUGGAAGAUAUGUAUUAGCACAUGCAACCUCAUCAUCACUGGGUUGAGGACCACUCCAAGAAAAGAAAGGGCUUUCACAAGCCAAUAGGACCAAGCUUUACUUCACCUCAUCGGUACAAAGUUACACGCCAAGAAUGCAAGCUCCGUGAGGACUGGGACUUGUCUGUCUUCAUCACUGGACCCCACAUCUCCAAUGGCUAUAACUGAGCUGCCAUAUAAUAACUUCUCAAUACAAACUUGAAGAAUGAGUGAUUUAAUCAUGGAGAAGAGGUAUCAUCUAAAAUUCUAGCAUUAUUUACACUGGGCUUUGGUUUGU